rnacentral:rRNA from 1 species
AUGGAGCUCGUCCUCUACGCAACGUGCAUCCUUCUUGUCGUCUCUUCUCUGUACGUUCUCCGCCACUUCGCCGACUCCCGCCGCAACCUGCCGCCGGGUCCCCCCUCGUGGCCUCUCAUCGGAAACCUCCUCGACCUCGGCGCCCUGCCGCACCGCUCCCUCGCGCGCCUCGCCGAGCGCCACGGCCCGCUCAUGACGCUCCGCCUCGGCGCCCUCACCACCGUCAUCGCCUCCACCGCGGACACCGCCCGCGACGUCCUCCAGCGCCACGACGCCGCCUUCUCUGCGCGCUCCGUGCCCGACGCCGUCCGCGCGUGCGCCUACGACAGCCUCUCCAUGGGCUGGCUCCCGCCGAGCAGCCCCCACUGGCGCGCCCUCCGCAAGCUGUGCUCGGGGGAGCUCUUCGCGCCGCACCGCCUGGACGCGCACCAGUCCAUCCGCCGCGCGCCCGUGGACAUCAGCCUCGUCGUGUUCACCACUGCGCUCAACCUGCUCUCCUGCACCAUAUUCUCAGCCGACAUCGCCGACCUCGACGACAUAGGAGGAUCGGGGCAGUUCAUGGCCGUGAUCUCAGAGUCCCUACAAGUCGCUGGCCAGCCCAACUUGUCGGACUUCUUCCCUGCGCUCGCGCCUCUCGACCCGCAGCGGCUGAGGAAGCGCCUCGCCGUGGGGUUCAAGCGGCUGCAUGCCAUAUUAGACGAGCAGAUCGAGCGGCGCAUGCGGGAGCGCACCGCCGGGGAGCCGCCCAAGAAUGACUUCAUGGACGUGCUGCUCGACUACCGCGGCCUGGAGGAUGGCCGGGGACUCGAUCGGGAAAUGCUGCGCGCAUUACUUAUGGAUUUGUUUAUCGCUGGAAGUGAUACAAGUGCAGCAACGUUUGAGUGGGCAAUGGCUGAGCUGCUACAAAAUCCGUCGUCCAUGGCGAAAGCUCGUGAAGAACUCGCACAAGUGAUAGGCUCCAGAUCAGAAAUCGAGGAAUCGGACAUUGGCCAACUCAAGUACCUCCAGGCCAUCGUGAAAGAGGUGUUUCGCCUCCAUCCUCCUGCUCCGCUCUUGUUACCUCGCCAAGCCGAAGCGACGACGGAGCUACGGGGCUACAUGGUGCCCAAGGGCGCACGUGUGAUGUUGAAUGUCUGGGCGAUUGGCAGGGACGGCGAGCUUUGGUCUGAACCAGAGAGGUUCAUGCCGGAGAGGUUCUUGGGGAAAGACAUGGAUUACCGAGGCCGGGAUUUUGAGCUCCUUCCGUUUGGUUCUGGCCGACGGAUCUGCCCCGGGAUGCCGCUGGCCGUGCGCAUGGUCCAUUUGAUGCUUGCAACACUGUUGUACCGGUUUGAAUGGAAACUUCCAAAAGAAGUGGAGGAAAAUGGGGUGGACAUGGGGGAGAAGUUUGGAAUAGUGCUAGCAUUGGCCACCCCUCUCCAGGCAUUAGCUGAACCAGUUUAA